rnacentral:rRNA from 1 species
CAGGCACGCAACAGCAGCCCAAGACGCCUUGUUCAGCCACACCCCCAAGGGAACUCAGCAGKGAUAAACAUUAAGCCAUAAGCGAAAGCUUGACUUAGCUAACGUCAAAAGGGCCGGUAAAUCUCGUGCCAGCCACCGCGGUUAUACGAAAGGCCCGAGUUGAUGGUCACCGGCGUAAAGAGUGAUUAUAGCAUGUUAAAAUAACUAAAGCCAAAGCCCUUCCCGGCUGUCAUACGCACCCGAAGGCAUGAGGCCCCUACACGAAAGUAGCUUUAACCACAAGACCCCUAGAACUCACGACAGCCAAGACACAAACUGGGAUUAGAUACCCCACUAUGCUUGGCCGUAAACCUUGAUGAUAAAACACAAAUAUCAUCCGCCAGGGGACUACAAGCGUCAGCUUAAAACCCAAAGGACUUGGCGGUGCCCCACACCCACCUAGAGGAGCCUGUUCUAGAACCGAUAACCCCCGUUAAACCUCACCACCCCUUGUCAACCCCGCCUAUAUACCACCGUCGCCAGCUUACCCUGUGAAGGACCAAUAGUAAGCCUAAUGAGCACAGCUCAAAACGUCAGGUCGAGGUGUAGCGAAUGGGGUGGGAAGAAAUGGGCUACAUUUUCUGAAACCAGAAUACUACGGAUGACAUAGUGAAACCAAUGCCUGAAGGUGGAUUUAGCAGUAAAAAGGGAACAGAGAGCCCUUUUGAAAUAGGCCCUGGGGCGCGCACACACCGCCCGUC